GUCAGGCCGUGCCGCCCACCCCGCCCCGCUCCUCGCCAGGCUGCUCCACCCGCCCCGCCGCUCGUCACGCUUCCUCGUCCGCCCCGCCCCUCGCUAGGCUGCACCGCCCGCCCCGCUUCCGCCCCAUCCCUCUCCAGGCCGCGCCUCCGCCUCCGGCCCGCCCUCGUCUCCGCCCCUGCGGGGGCUGCUCGUUAGGCCCCGCCCUGCACCCCCGUCACCCACGCCGCGCGACCCGCAGCCGCCGCCAGGGCCCUCUGCUGCCGCGGAGGUGCUAGGACAGCCGCGGACGGCCCGCCUCCCCGUGCCCCGGGCCUCGAGGCCAAUAAAAAGCUCGCCCCUCCAGCUCACCGGGUCCGACGGGUACGGUACAAAGUGCUGUCUCUCGCCACAGCCACCUUUGUGACAAUAAAAGCAAUAAGGCUAAUGUCCAUGGGGCGCUCACGUUUAUGCAUGAACAGAGAAAGCUGAGAUACGGAGACUAGUGAUCCGUCGAGGUAAUAAACGGCACAGGUGGGGUUUGAACUCCAUCAGUUUGAUUGCAGAGGCCUGGAACAACCCUACAGCCUUCUCUCAGAUCUUUUCUGGACCUUUUUCUAUGCGCUUUGAAUGUGAGCUCCAGGAGGACACGACCCUCCCUGUUUCCUUGUUCCCUGCUGUGUCCCAGUACCAAGCACAGUGUCUGAUAUAAAAGAUAGACCCUGGGCACUUGCAGACACCCCCCCACCACCCACCCCCUGCACACCCCUGGCAGUGCUCUAGAGUGAGCCUCCUUCAUUUCAGUCCUUGGCAAGGGGGAGUGAGCCAGAGAUGGCAUUAAGCUGCAUGUGGCUGCUAAGUCAUGCACCUAGGACGUGAGGCUGCCAAGCUUGGUAUUCAAUAAAUAUUGAUGGAUGAAGGAACAAUGGAAGAAAGGAGUGCAUGGGUAAACAAAUGACAAAUAUGUCAAAGCACGGAUGCAGAUUCUUAGAAUGGGCUAAUGCUGUUUUCUGCUGGAUUUUUGGAUGUGUACAAACGAGUUCUCUCACAAUACAGAUCCACAGUGUCUGGGUCAGAGGAGAACUGAUGCUCCGCAUGGCAUUUUACCAUCCUGCCUGCCUGCCUGGGGCCCUGGGCCCACAGGCUUUGGGGAGAGUGUAUGGCCAGGCUGCAGCCUUCCUGGGAUAAAGCUCUGCCUUUUAGUCUCUUAUCCUACUUUUUAGAAGCCCUUUAAGGUCUUUGUUAAAGGAAAUCUAAUGUGAAGAAUUCCAGGAGAACUGGAUAAGCCUGACUAUGGGUGGGCGUGACUGAAUUACUUCCCGGGCUGGCUAAGGAAGGCCUCCCCCGAAGUGCAUCGGAAGCCUGCAGCUUCUCCUUAUGGCCACUGGAGGGCACUUGGACCAUGAAAUACCAGAUCGUCUCGGCGUCCCAGGUCUUUGGAAAUGUGUGAUUCAAUUCAGCAAACGUUUCAAAAUCAUCACUAUAAAGAUAGCGCUUUUGUGUUGAACAUCCAAUAUGGCGCUAAACACCUUAUAUAUAUGUGUGCGUGUAUAUAUGAACUUGCUUAAUAUUAACUACAAUUGUUGUGAGUUACUUAGGCUAUUUAGGAAAAAAAAAUCAAGGCUUAAAGAAGUCAAAGUACUUACCCAAGAUUGCUUAGCUAAAUAAAAUUUGGGAGUAAGGACUUGAACUCAAGCCCUUGGGCACCAACCAUAAGCAAUAGGUGCACACAAAGCUGAAAUGAGGACUCUCUUAUAAGCAGGAAGACGCACACACCACACAAAUAUUAUUGUUCCUCAACAAUUUACACAUUCUGAAAUUGGAAGAUGACUUACAAUUUGUACAUUACAUGGUAAUGUUUCUUUUUUCCCUUGAAAUGAUGUUAUUAAAUAAAUGAAGUGUC
rnacentral:lncRNA from 1 species